rnacentral:rRNA from 1 species
GACGAACGCUGGCGGCGUGCCUAAUACAUGCAAGUCGAGCGGACCAAAGGGAGCUUGCUCCUGGAGGUUAGCGGCGAACGGGUGAGUAACACGUGGGCAACCUGCCUGUAAGACUGGGAUAACAUCGAGAAAUCGGUGCUAAUACCGGAUAAUAAAAAGAACUGCAUGGUUCUUUUUGAAAGAUGGUUUCGGCUAUCACUUACAGAUGGGCCCGCGGCGCAUUAGCUAGUUGGUGAGGUAACGGCUCACCAAGGCAACGAUGCGUAGCCGACCUGAGAGGGUGAUCGGCCACACUGGGACUGAGACACGGCCCAGACUCCUACGGGAGGCAGCAGUAGGGAAUCUUCCGCAAUGGACGAAAGUCUGACGGAGCAACGCCGCGUGAGUGAUGAAGGUUUUCGGAUCGUAAAACUCUGUUGUUAGGGAAGAACAAGUGCCGUUCGAAAGGGCGGCACCUUGACGGUACCUAACGAGAAAGCCACGGCUAACUACGUGCCAGCAGCCGCGGUAAAGUC